GCGCGAGACACGUGUGUUCUUCUCUCCUCUGCGUUCGGCGGCCACAGUGACGCCUGAGCUUUCUUCACAAUUUCUGAAACGGUGUGCGUGAAUGUAAGUUAAUAUUAACUCAUUCAGUGCAUCUCUUCUUCUUCAAGACAAUGAAUCUGCAACUAUAAAUAGUUGGAGUGAAAGCUCAUGGGCUAGCGAAGAAGAUUGGUUUCUUCCCGGCAGUUAGGGAGGAGACGGUGACUGUUUUAAGACCACCGUAGUGGGAUCGAGCUAGGAGAGAGUGGACUCAGGGAGUUUGAGAUGGUGGUUGAGGGAGAGAUUAGGAGAGAGGCCAUGUUUAUGGAGGUCGGGAAGAGGAAUGGUUUGACAGAAUAUGGUGUUACAUAUCCUGGUGUAACUGAGCAGUCGUGUCUUAUCCUUUGGUCUCCACAUACCGGCGAAAGAAAUCCGGAGACGUUAAACAAGUGCGUUGAGUCCAAACGUCGUCUAUAACACCAUCAUUAACAACAACUUCCCAGUCCUCUGAUGAUCUCUGCAUUUUUGGGAAGCAAAUAAUGUGAAUAAGGGUGGUGAUCUCAUGGCUGUUUAUAUUGCUUUGGUGGAUGAGAAGGUUCUCAGAGAGAAGACCAGUUUUGUUGAGAUUGCAGAAAGCAUUAACCCUAUCCCUACGUUGAAUCUUUCUUUGUAGUUACAACAUGGUCAACUCUAGGACAAGAGAAACAAGAGCACAUGUGACUCCUUCUUGGCAUGUACUUUGAAUCAUUGCCACUUCUUAGGAUUUCUCACGCACACAUCAGAGAUAUUUUUGUGUUGCAAUUGGCAGAGGAAAACAAGCCUGCUAAAACAUAAGGUACUGUGAAUGUGUUUGCUACAAUCGUACUAUGGCAUUAUGUGUGGUCUGAAGCUGUUAUAACUAACUUCACAAGGGACCCGACAAGUAGCUUAUGAAACCACGAAGAGCUUCUACGGUUAAUGGGAUUGAUGAUACUGAUUCACAUAAUAAAUGGAGUUAUAGCUUUAAUUACAAUAAUGAUGAUGACACCAGGUGGAAGAAGGCAUAAAGCCAACUAUUGCUCCGAGAACGGUGAAGAACUUGAAAUGUUAUCUGUGUUUCUCUUCUUUUUUUUCUUCUUUUUUUUUCGUUUUUUUCUGGGAAAGGGCUUUAGUAUCUGUGUUUCGUUUUUUGGUGUUUAUUUCUUAUGACUCUUAUUUGAUGCCAAGUGUACGUAAUCGUAAUUGCUCUGUUGACAUAUACAUUUGUCUGAGUUCAUUCAUUCUUAUACAUUUUUAUGAGUUCA